ensembl:lncRNA
AGAAGAAGGAAAGUCAGGUUUUUUGUGUGAACUAUCACUUUAACUUUCCUAUAAUAUUCAUAUAAAAUCAGCACUCAAAAUGUGUCACGCAAAUACUUGCAUCUGAAAAACAUGUUGAGAAAAUGUUGCUGAGGAGAUAAUCAUAUUUCUUUCUUUAUAGACACAUAUCAGCAUUAGAUUGCUUUAUUUCUGUCACGCUGCCAGUCUUUGUUUUCCUGGGUGUUCCCUAGUGAGCUCACUUCUCCUUAGGCACUUCACCAUAGGCACUUUAAUUCCGCUAGUCUGGUCAUGUCGUCACAGUAAUUGCACUCCAAUUAAAUCGCACAGGUGUUGACUAUCCUUAGUCAUUAGUCUCCCUAUAUAGAGCUGUCUUUCUCUGUCGUCUUUAUGGAGUCCUUACCCUAUGUGUCUCAUGCUCUCGUUCCCCAAGAUUUCCUCUACCUUCUCGUUCUUCCGAGUUCCCCGUUUCAUCCGGUUCCCUCUUUUGGUUUUGUUUGUCUCUCAUGACUGUUUAUUUUGUAUUUACCCUUCUGUUUAAAUAAAACCCUUACCUGCAUUUGGAUCCAACCCUCUCUUUGUGUUUCUCCUAAACCCUACCGUGACAGAAGGACUCCAUCAAUCAAGGAUCCAGCGGUAUGUCUGCUGCCAUGUCUUCAUCAGCCAGCAAGCGAAAUGGUUUUGAGGGCUCUCGCCUAGUGGUGUUCCGGGGGACCAGGGGAGGUCGCUCCGGAGCAAGCGGUCGAGAGGAGGUCCGGCAGCGAUCGCCACUGUGGCCUCCCAUCGAACCGAGAUUCGGAUGGGGGCUGCCAUUUCCCCAGGAUGUCCCGAGAGGAGAGGGGAGAUGCAGAUCGGCUGAGCCAGCGCCGUGGUACCAGAUGGCCGCCAGUCCUGUGCAGCGGCACCAAAUGGCUGCCAGCUCAGCCCCACAGCACAAGAUGGCCGCCACCCCAACCCCACAGCACAGGAUGGCCGCCAGCCCAGCCCCACAGCACAAGAUGGCCGCCAGCCCAGCCCCACAGCACAAGAUGGCCGCCAGCCUAGCGCCACAGCCCAAGAUGGCCGCCAGCCUAGCGCCACAGCCCAAGAUGGCCGCCAGCCUAGCGCCACAGCCCAAGAUGGCCGCCAGCCUAGCACCACAGCCCAAGAUGGCCGCCAGCCCAGCGCCACAGCCCAAGAUGGCUGCCAGCCCAGCACCACAGCACAAGAUGGCCGACUCAACGACACCGAUUCUCCAUCGUAGAGGGCGGAGGAGGAGACAGGCAGCUACUGUUCCUCAGGACACGGAGAACGUUCCCGAGCGGGCCGCUGCCAUCCAUGAGGCCAUUCCCGAUGCGGUGCCCGCUGCUGUUCCGGAGGCGGUGGCUGAGGCUGUUCCCGAUGCGGUGCCCGCUGCUGUUCCGGAGACCGAGGCGGUGCCCGCUGCUGUUCCGGAGGCCGAGGCGGUGGCCGAGGCUGUUCCCGAGGCCGAGGCUGUUCCCGAGGAGGUGCUCGAUGCUGUUCGAGAGGCCGAGGCUGUUCCCGAGGCGGUGCCCGAUGCUGUGGCCGAGGCUGUUCCCGAGGAGGUGCUCGAUGCUGUUCGAGAGGCCGAGGCUGUUCCCGAGGCGGUGCCCGAUGCUGUUCCCGAGGCGGUGCCCGAUGCAGUUCCCGAGGCGGUGCUCGAUGCAGUUCCCGAGGCUGUUCCCGAGGAGGUGCCCGAUGCUGUUCCCGAGGCGGUGCCCGAUGCAGUUCCCGAGGCGGUGCCCGAUGCAGUUCCCGAGGCGGUGCCCGAUGCAGUUCCCGAGGCGGUGCCCGAUGCAGUUCCCGAGGCGGUGCCCGAUGCAGUUCCCGAGGCGGUGCCCGAUGCAGUUCCCGAGGCGGUGCCCGAUGCAGUUCCCGAGGCGGUGCCCGAUGCAGUUCCCGAGGCGGUGCCCGAUGCAGUUCCCGAGGCGGUGCCCGAUGCAGUUCCCGAGGCGGUGCCCGAUGCGGUUCCCGAGGCGGUGCCCGAUGCGGUUCCCGAGGCUGUUCCCGAGGCGGUGCCCGAGGCUGUUCCCGAGGCGGUGCCCGAUGCUGUUCCCGAGGCGGUGCCCGAUGCUGAGGCCGAGGCUGUUCCCGAGGAGGUGCUCGAUGCUGUGCCCGAUGCUGUGGCCGAGACUGUUCCCGAGGAGGUGCUCGAUGCUGUUCGAGAGGCCGAGGCUGUUCCCGAGGCGGUGCCCGAUGCAGUUCCCGAGGCGGUGCCCGAUGCAGUUCCCGAGGCGGUGCCCGAGGCGGUGCCCGAUGCAGUUCCCGAGGCGGUGCCCGAUGCUGUUCCCGAGGCCGAGGCUGUUCCCGAGGAGGUGCUCGAUGCUGUUCCCGAGGCCGAGGCUGUUCCCGAGGAGGUGCUCGAUGCUGUUCGAGAGGCCGAGGCGGUGCCCGAUGCAGUUCCCGAGGCGGUGCCCGAUGCAGUUCCCGAGGCGGUGCCCGAUGCGGUUCCCGAGGCGGUGCCCGAUGCGGUUCCCGAGGCGGUGCCCGAUGCGGUUCCCGAGGCGGUGCCCGAUGCAGUUCCCGAGGCGGUGCCCGAGGCGGUGCCCCAUGCAGUUCCCGAGGCGGUCCCCUUACCUGCAUUUGGAUCCAACCCUCUCUUUGUGUUUCUCCUAAACCCUACCGUGACAAUUUCAGUUUGCAUAUAUUAUCUGCAAUCCAAGACUGUAUUUGUUUCUUUUCACUGUGUCUCCAUGGAAAUAAUUGCGACAGAAAUGCGACAUAUGCCAGCUGUCACUUGAAAAGGAGGUCAAAAUAGAUAAAUACG